rnacentral:rRNA from 1 species
UACGGAGGAUCCAAGCGUUAUCCGGAUUUAUUGGGUUUAAAGGGUGCGUAGGCGGUUUAUUAAGUCAGGGGUGAAAGACGGCAGCUUAACUGUCGCAGUGCCUUUGAUACUGAUGAACUUGAAUGUACUAGAAGUAGGCGGAAUGUGACAAGUAGCGGUGAAAUGCAUAGAUAUGUCACAGAACACCGAUUGCGAAGGCAGCUUACUAUGGUAUUAUUGACGCUGAGGCACGAAAGCGUGGGAGCAAACAGG